rnacentral:snRNA from 1 species
ACAUGUGAAGGUGAUCUGGCUUCCAUAUCUGUCACCUCAUUGAUCACCAGAGUUGAUUCUACUGAUGUGGUUGGCUAGGUGGGUGUCCCCUGUCUCCCUCAAGCUGUGUGCUCAGUUGCUGGUUGAAGAGGAAUACCAUCCCACAACAGAGACAAAAUAUUCUUCCAUCAAGAGUGGGUAUAGGAGUG